ACUUCGCCAGAUCUUCGGUCUACCGAGCAAUGACAUCCGCUCGGCGGAAGAUCUUCUCUUGGUUGU
rnacentral:pre_miRNA from 1 species